UACCAGCUCUCCGAGUGGUAGGGAUGAUUAUUGGGCUUAAAGCGUCCGUAGCCGGCUUAGCAAGUCUCCUGUUAAAUUCAGCGACCUAAUCGUUGAGCCGCGGGAGAUACUACUAGGCUAGGAGGCGGGAGAGGUCAACGGUACUUCCGGGGUAGGGGUGAAAUCCUAUAAUCCCGGGAGGACCACCAGUGGCGAAGGCUGUUGACUAGAACGCGCUCGACGGUGAGGGACGAAAGCUGGGGGAGCGAACCGGAUUAGAUACCCGGGUAGUCCCAGCUGUAAACGAUGCGAGCUAGGUGUUGGGUGGCUACGUGCCACUUCAGUGCCGCAGGGAAGCCAUUAAGCUCGCCGCCUGGGGAGUACGGCCGCAAGGCUGAAACUUAAAGGAAUUGGCGGGGGAGCACCACAAGGCGUGAAGCUUGCGGUUC
rnacentral:rRNA from 1 species